CAUGGAUGUUUCAAAUCAAAGGACAUUGCUCAAAAUCUCUUUCUUCAUUAACAACUGUAGAGAUUUCGUCGUUCAAGCACUGAAUGGAUGGAAUGGAACAAUAGGGUAGUGACCAGAAUGAAAUUAUUAUUUUUAAGACACAUGUGAAUUUUAUCAUUUCCAUUUUUUCCUUAAUUACAUUUGCUACACAAAAGGGCUCGAAAGCUAUGUAGGUUAUCAAAUAUAAUAUAGUAUUAGAAACAGCAUGUGAAUGUUGCGUGAGUCUCAACUGGAUGUUGAAUUGGUUUGUCUGUAUUUUCGGAGAAACGAUCCAUCAAGACCUCUUCAAAUCGUAAGUGUUUUCAGAAAUGAGGGCUGAAAGUCUCAAGACCUUCAAUAACUUGACAAAAACCCACUUAUUUUCAACUCCUACAUCAGUAUCUCUGAAAGUAGUUUUAAAUUUCAAAAUAAAUAGGUCCUGACUAAGUUCUAAAGAUAUAUGUUGCAGCUUGUUUCAUAUGACUUUUCUAUAUGGCUUACUAAAUUACUACAUUCUUUUCUAUAAGGUAAAAUGAUUAACCAGGAAGCAAAUAUUCUUCACCAAAUCGUGAAAUAGAUGAUUGAUUUAUAGUUGAAUAAAAUUGACCUGUUAUGCACCUGAUUUAUUGUGAAAAUGAUAUGUCUGAAAAAAAUAAUAUCCAUCAAAAUUGGUUGCUAAUGCAUAUAAAAAUAAUUUGUAUGCGUACUCAUACUUGACAAUAAAUAACAUUUCCUAAUUUAGUUUAUGUGUUAGUAAUUAUGACUACUAAUGAAAUUUGUCUUGAGUAUGUUGAUUUUGUAGCAAAUUAUUGAAAUGUCGAUGUUUUGACUUUCCUGUGUCUAAUAAUCAUGAACUGAAUCUGAUGGCUUUGCUCUAACAAUAAACACUUAUUUGUU